UCCGGUUUAGCACCGGCAGUCUUCCCAGAGUCCUUGCCAUGACGCGUUAGCAACUGAGAACGGGGGUUGCGCUCGUUGCGGGACUUAACCCAACAUCUCACGACACGAGCUGACGACAGCCAUGCAGCACCUGUAACCGAACUCCGAAGAGGGGCUCUCGUUUCUGAGAGCUUGCUCGUACAUGUCAAGUCUGGGUAAGGUUCUUCGGUUAGUAUCGAAUUAAUCCACAUGCUCCACCGCUUGUGCGGGUCCCCGUCAAUUCAUUUGAGUUUCAACCUUGCGGCCGUACUCCCCAGGCGGGAUACUUAAUGCGUUAGCUGCGGCACAAGAGGGGUCGAUACCUCUUACGCCUAGUAUCCAUCGUUUAGGGCGUGGACUAC
rnacentral:misc_RNA from 1 species